CAAAAAGUAGUUUAUAAAUAUAAGAAUUUUAAUUUUGGGAAUUAAAGGACCUUAUUUACGGCUUUUUGA
rnacentral:tRNA from 1 species